GUUAUAUGGUCAAGUGAAGAAGCGCAUACGGUGGAUGCCUUGGCAGUCAGAGGCGAUGAAAGACGUGGUAGCCUGCGAAAAGCUUCGGGGAGUCGGCAAACAGACUGUGAUCCGGAGAUGUCUGAAUGGGGGAACCCAGCCAUCAUAAGAUGGUUAUCUUGUACUGAAUACAUAGGUGCAAGAGGCGAACCAGGGGAACUGAAACAUCUAAGUACCCUGAGGAAAAGAAAUCAACCGAGAUUCCCUUAGUAGUGGCGAGCGAACGGGGACCAGCCCUUAAGUUGUAUUGAGAUUAGCGGAACGUUCUGGAAAGGACGGCCAUAGUGGGUGAUAGCCCUGUACGCGAAAAUCCCUUUGCAAUGAAAUCGAGUAGGACGGGGCACGAGAAACCUUGUCUGAAUAUGGGGGGACCAUCCUCCAAGGCUAAAUACUACUGACUGACCGAUAGUGAACCAGUACCGUGAGGGAAAGGCGAAAAGAACCGCGGAGAGCGGAGUGAAAUAGAUCCUGAAACCGUAUGCGUACAAGCAGUGGGAGCCCACUUUGUUGGGUGACUGCGUACCUUUUGUAUAAUGGGUCAGCGACUUAUUUUCAGUGGCGAGCUUAACCGAAUAGGGGAGGCGUAGCGAAAGCGAGUCUUAAUAGGGCGUCUAGUCGCUGGGAAUAGACCCGAAACCGGGCGAUCUAUCCAUGGGCAGGUUGAAGGUUGGGUAACACUAACUGGAGGACCGAACCGACUACCGUUGAAAAGUUAGCGGAUGACCUGUGGAUCGGAGUGAAAGGCUAAUCAAGCUCGGAGAUAGCUGGUUCUCCUCGAAAGCUAUUUAGGUAGCGCCUCAUGUAUCACUGUAGGGGGUAGAGCACUGUUUCGGCUAGGGGGUCAUCCCGACUUACCAAACCGAUGCAAACUCCGAAUACCUACAAGUGCCGAGCAUGGGAGACACACGGCGGGUGCUAACGUCCGUCGUGAAAAGGGAAACAACCCAGACCGUCAGCUAAGGUCCCAAAGUCAUGGUUAAGUGGGAAACGAUGUGGGAAGGCUUAGACAGCUAGGAGGUUGGCUUAGAAGCAGCCACCCUUUAAAGAAAGCGUAAUAGCUCACUAGUCGAGUCGGCCUGCGCGGAAGAUGUAACGGGGCUCAAACCAUGCACCGAAGCUACGGGUAUCAUCUUAUGAUGAUGCGGUAGAGGAGCGUUCUGUAAGCCUGUGAAGGUGAGUUGAGAAGCUUGCUGGAGGUAUCAGAAGUGCGAAUGCUGACAUGAGUAACGACAAUGGGUGUGAAAAACACCCACGCCGAAAGACCAAGGUUUCCUGCGCAACGUUAAUCGACGCAGGGUUAGUCGGUCCCUAAGGCGAGGCUGAAAAGCGUAGUCGAUGGAAAACAGGUUAAUAUUCCUGUACUUCUGGUUAUUGCGAUGGAGGGACGGAGAAGGCUAGGCCAGCCUGGCGUUGGUAGUCCAGGUUUAAGGUGGUAGGCUGAGAUCUUAGGUAAAUCCGGGAUCUUAAGGCCGAGAGCUGAUGACGAGUGUUCUUUUAGAACACGAAGUGGUUGAUGCCAUGCUUCCAAGAAAAGCUUCUAAGCUUCAGGUAACCAGGAACCGUACCCCAAACCGACACAGGUGGUUGGGUAGAGAAUACCAAGGCGCUUGAGAGAACUCGGGUGAAGGAACUAGGCAAAAUGGCACCGUAACUUCGGGAGAAGGUGCGCCGGUGGAGGUGAAGCAUUUACUGCGUAAGCCCCUGCCGGUCGAAGAUACCAGGCCGCUGCGACUGUUUAUUAAAAACACAGCACUCUGCAAACACGAAAGUGGACGUAUAGGGUGUGACGCCUGCCCGGUGCCGGAAGGUUAAUUGAUGGGGUUAGCGCAAGCGAAGCUCUUGAUCGAAGCCCCGGUAAACGGCGGCCGUAACUAUAACGGUCCUAAGGUAGCGAAAUUCCUUGUCGGGUAAGUUCCGACCUGCACGAAUGGCGUAACGAUGGCGGCGCUGUCUCCACCCGAGACUCAGUGAAAUUGAAAUCGCUGUGAAGAUGCAGUGUAUCCGCGGCUAGACGGAAAGACCCCGUGAACCUUUACUAUAGCUUUGCACUGGACUUUGAAUUUGCUUGUGUAGGAUAGGUGGGAGGCUUUGAAGCGUGGACGCCAGUCUGCGUGGAGCCAACCUUGAAAUACCACCCUGGCAACUUUGAGGUUCUAACUCAGGUCCGUUAUCCGGAUCGAGGACAGUGUAUGGUGGGUAGUUUGACUGGGGCGGUCUCCUCCUAAAGAGUAACGGAGGAGUACGAAGGUGCGCUCAGACCGGUCGGAAAUCGGUCGUAGAGUAUAAAGGCAAAAGCGCGCUUGACUGCGAGACAGACACGUCGAGCAGGUACGAAAGUAGGUCUUAGUGAUCCGGUGGUUCUGUAUGGAAGGGCCAUCGCUCAACGGAUAAAAGGUACUCCGGGGAUAACAGGCUGAUACCGCCCAAGAGUUCAUAUCGACGGCGGUGUUUGGCACCUCGAUGUCGGCUCAUCACAUCCUGGGGCUGAAGCCGGUCCCAAGGGUAUGGCUGUUCGCCAUUUAAAGUGGUACGCGAGCUGGGUUUAGAACGUCGUGAGACAGUUCGGUCCCUAUCUGCCGUGGACGUUUGAGAUUUGAGAGGGGCUGCUCCUAGUACGAGAGGACCGGAGUGGACGAACCUCUGGUGUUCCGGUUGUCACGCCAGUGGCAUUGCCGGGUAGCUAUGUUCGGAAAAGAUAACCGCUGAAAGCAUCUAAGCGGGAAACUUGCCUCAAGAUGAGAUCUCACUGGAACCUUGAGUUCCCUAAAGGGCCGUCGAAGACUACGACGUUGAUAGGUUGGGUGUGUAAGCGCUGUGAGGCGUUGAGCUAACCAAUACUAAUUGCCCGUGAGGCUUGACCAUAUAACACCCAAGCAAUU
rnacentral:rRNA from 1 species